rnacentral:rRNA from 1 species
GUUUAACAAAAACAUCUUUUCUUGUUAGUUUCUGAAGUAUGGCCUGCCCGCUGACGUAUAUUAAGUUGAAGGGCCGCGGUAUUUUGACCGUGCAAAGGUAGCAUAGUCAUUAGUUCUUUAAUUGUGAUCUGGUAUGAAUGGCUUGACGAGACAUGGGCUGUCUUAAAGAUGUGGAAUUUGUUGUUGAAUUUUGAGUUUGAGUUAAAAUUCUUAGAUGUUUUUAUGGGACGAGAAGACCCUAUAGAGUUUGACAUUUGAUUGCGUAUAUCUUGUUGUUUGUUUUAAAUUUUUGCGUGUCUCUUGUUUUGUUGGGGUGAUGGGAGGAAUUUAUUUAACUCCUCUUUUUGUGUAGUAUAUUGAUGUAUAUGUAUGUUGAU